rnacentral:rRNA from 1 species
CAGUCGACGGUGAACACGGAGCUUGCUCUGUGGGAUCAGUGGCGAACGGGUGAGUAACACGUGAGCAACCUGCCCCUGACUCUGGGAUAAGCGCUGGAAACGGCGUCUAAUACUGGAUAUGUGACGUGAUCGCAUGGUCUGCGUCUGGAAAGAAUUUCGGUUGGGGAUGGGCUCGCGGCCUAUCAGCUUGUUGGUGAGGUAAUGGCUCACCAAGGCGUCGACGGGUAGCCGGCCUGAGAGGGUGACCGGCCACACUGGGACUGAGACACGGCCCAGACUCCUACGGGAGGCAGCAGUGGGGAAUAUUGCACAAUGGGCGCAAGCCUGAUGCAGCAACGCCGCGUGAGGGACGACGGCCUUCGGGUUGUAAACCUCUUUUAGCAGGGAAGAAGCGAAAGUGACGGUACCUGCAGAAAAAGCGCCGGCUAACUACGUGCCAGCAGCCGCGGUAAUACGUAGGGCGCAAGCGUUAUCCGGAAUUAUUGGGCGUAAAGAGCUCGUAGGCGGUUUGUCGCGUCUGCUGUGAAAUCCGGAGGCUCAACCUCCGGCCUGCAGUGGGUACGGGCAGACUAGAGUGCGGUAGGGGAGAUUGGAAUUCCUGGUGUAGCGGUGGAAUGCGCAGAUAUCAGGAGGAACACCGAUGGCGAAGGCAGAUCUCUGGGCCGUAACUGACGCUGAGGAGCGAAAGGGUGGGGAGCAAACAGGCUUAGAUACCCUGGUAGUCCACCCCGUAAACGUUGGGAACUAGUUGUGGGGUCCAUUCCACGGAUUCCGUGACGCAGCUAACGCAUUAA